UCCGUGGUAGUAUAGUGGUCAGUACACAAGCCUGUCAAGCUUGAAAGCUAGGGAUCGCUUGAAGCCGGGGUUCGAUUCCCCGCCAUGGAG